GACGAACGCUGGCGGCGUGCUUAACACAUGCAAGUCGAACGGAAAGGCCCUGCUUUUGUGGGGUGCUCGAGUGGCGAACGGGUGAGUAACACGUGAGUAACCUGCCCUUGACUUUGGGAUAACUUCAGGAAACUGGGGCUAAUACCUGAUAGGAGCUCCUGCUGCAUGGUGGGGGUUGGAAAGUUUCGGCGGUUGGGGAUGGACUCGCGGCUUAUCAGCUUGUUGGUGGGGUAGUGGCUUACCAAGGCUUUGACGGGUAGCCGGCCUGAGAGGGUGACCGGCCACAGUGGGACUGAGAGACGGCACAGACUCCUACGGGAGGCAGCAGUGGGGAAUAUUGCACAAUGGGCGGAAGCCUGAUGCAGCAACGCCGCGUGCGGGAUGACGGCCUUCGGGUUGUAAACCGCUUUCGCCUGUGACGAAGCGUGAGUGACGGUAAUGGGUAAAGAAGCACCGGCUAACUACGUG
rnacentral:rRNA from 1 species